rnacentral:rRNA from 1 species
UACAGAGGGGGCAAGCGUUGUUCGGAAUUACUGGGCGUAAAGGGCGCGUAGGCGGCCUGUUAAGUCGAACGUGAAAUCCCCGGGCUCAACCCGGGAACUGCGUCCGAUACUGGCAGGCUUGAAUUCGGGAGAGGGAUGCGGAAUUCCAGGUGUAGCGGUGAAAUGCGCAGAUAUCAGGAGGAACACCAAUGGCGAAGGCAGCUCGCUGGGACGGUACUGACGCUGAGACGCGAAAGCGUGGGGAGCAAACAGG